AACAUCCUGGUUGUUUAUGACUUCCCACAUCGUUUUCCACUUAAUUAUGAUUUCGGGAAGUCAUAAACAACCAGGAUGUAAGCUUAGAAGCAGCCAUCAUUUAAAGAAAGCGUAAUAGCUCACUGGUCGAGUCAUCCUGCGCGGAAAAUGUAACGGGGCUAAAUUAUGUACCGAAGCUGCGGCAACAUAUUUCAUAUAUUGUUGGGUAGGGGAGCGUUCUGUAAGCCAAUGAAGGUAUAUUGUAAAGUAUACUGGAGGUAUCAGAAGUGCGAAUGCUGACAUAAGUAACGAAAAAGCGGGCAAAAAAACCCGCUCGCCUAAAAACUAAGGUUUCCUGUUCAACGGUAAUCGAAGCAGGGUAAGUCGGCUCCUAAGGCGAGGUCGAAAGGCGUAGUCGAUGGGUAACAGGUUAAUAUUCCUGUACUAGAUGUAACUGCGAAGGGGGUACAAGAUCGCUAAGUUCGCCAGGUGACGGUUAUCCUGCUUUUUCACCUACAUGCUUAAACCAGGAUAACCGUCACCUGGCGAACUUAGCUUUCUUCGUACCCCCUUCGCAGUUACAUCUAGUACAGGAAUAUUAACCUGUUACCCAUCGACUACGCCUUUCGACCUCGCCUUAGGAGCCGACUUACCCUGCUUCGAUUACCGUUGAACAGGAAACCUUAGUUUUUAGGCGAGCGGGUUUUU
rnacentral:rRNA from 1 species